CAAACUCACAAACCAUGAGAUCAUGACCUGAGCUAAAAUCGGAGGCUUAACCAACUGAGCUACCCAGGUGCCCCUGGACUCUUUGCUUUGAAAUGCAACUACCAUGCUGUAGAGAGGCCAAACCUGCACAGAAGCCACAUGGAAGUUUCUCAAAGCAGUCCAAGCCAGCAUGUGAGGAGGCAACUCUUCAGGUGAGCAGCCCCAAGUCCAGGGGUCCCCUCAGGCUUGGAGUCCUGCCAGGGAGGUCCCAGAUGCUGUGAACAGAUUCUAGCUUUCCUUGAUGUUGUCUUUCCCAAAUUCUGAUGCUCAGAAACAUAAUAAAAUGAUCUAAGCUGCUAUGUUUGGGGUAACUCAUUAUCAGUAACUGCAUCCUUUCUCUUACAGAAACAUCACACUUCCUGCUCCCUUGAAAUCUGUGACCCUGUGACUUGCUGUGGGCAAUGCAAUUUGAGUGGAAAUGAUGUAUGACAGUGUUUCAUUGCUUGGCUCCAUUCUUUGCCUGUUCUUCUGGAAGACAUGGAGAUGUUGUCUCUGUGGGUCACAUUGGACAUAUGGGCCAGUCACCCCUCUGCUCUCCUCCAGCCUUGGGCCUAGGAGCUGUCCUGCCCACACCUUCAUCUCAAGACCUUGAAUUUGCCCUUCUGUCUGCCUGGAAACUCUUCACCUGGAUAUCGAUGGGAAAACUGAGGCCCAGAGAUGUUAAAGAGCUUGCUGACAACUGUCAGAGCCUGGAACCAAGAAGCAGCCCCAGCCCUAAAGGACAACCAGGCCCAGGAACUUCCCAGAACAGAUAAGCCUGUGGGAUGUGACAUACUGGGGAGACCAGCGCCCCUCCCUGAGGGCCAGUCCCCGCAGGUUCAUAGGCAGCCCUAGGCCUGUCAACUGGCAGCCAGCACGGGGAGUCACUGGGAGGGAGGACGCCAGGCCCAGGCCCCAGCAUGUGAAUGCUGGGCUGCUGGGGAGGCUGGCAGGCAGGCCGGCGGCCAGUGGCUCCAAGUCAGGUAAUCACACUGGGCACCCUGAACACCCCUACCCCACCUGAUCGCACCAGCCCUCACCUCCCUCAACACCCUCUCUUGAAUUUGGCAAAUUCAAGCUGCUUGGGAACUGAGCCCUGAGGCUGUCUCCUGUCCAAAGAAAAGUAAGGACAUAAAGAAGGAAGGUAUCCACUGAGACCAUGGGGCCCAGGAAGGGACACUGCCCCACCCUCUCCCCUAAGGCUUCCAUGACCCACCAAGAUUCUACAUCCAGUCACCUGGACCCUUUCCCUUCCCAACAUACAAUGUCACACUCACAGGCCUGGCUGGAUCAGUACCUCCAGGGCCCAGCCUGUCCCUUGAUGCCUAUGCAAUCCCCAUGGGCUUCAAAGCUUUGAGGACAGAAAUGACCAGGUCUCAUCCACACCCACAGUAGGACCCAGUCAGGGUGAGACAGGACCAAACACAAAAGGCCAAGGGCCCCUCCCUUGGGGGCCAUCAGAAGUCACUCAGAAACCCCAAGUCCUUCCCCAAGGUCCCUUCAUCCACAGGGCCUGGGGUCUUUUAAGAAAAGGAGGGCGGGUGUCUGGGUGGCUCAGUUGGUUAAGCGUGGACUUCGGCUCAGGUCAUGAUCUU